GGAGAGGUGGGUGAGUGGCUUAAACCAGCAGUUUGCUAAACUGUCGUACGGGCUUAAACCCGUACCGGGGGUUCAAAUCCCCCCCUCUCCGCCA
rnacentral:tRNA from 1 species